rnacentral:rRNA from 1 species
UAUCUCUGUAGAGUCUGCAUAUCAAUAAGCGGAGGAAAAGAAACUAACUAGGAUUCCCUCAGUAACGGCGAGUGAAGCGGGAAGAGCUCAAAUUUGAAAUCUUCAAGGUUUUACCUUGACGAAUUGUAGUUUAAAGAAGUGUUUUCUGUUGAAGUUUUGGUAAAAGUUCUUUGGAAUAGGACAUCAUAGAGGGUGAGAAUCCCGUAUUUGACCAUUUCUUUCAGCUUUGUGAUACACUUUCAAAGAGUCGGAUUGUUUGGGAAUGCAGUCCAAAAUGGGUGGUAAAUUUCAUCUAAAGCUAAAUAUUGGCGAGAGACCGAUAGCGAACAAGUACCGUGAGGGAAAGAUGAAAAGAACUUUGAAAAGAGAGUUAAACAGUACGUGAAAUUGUCAAAAGGGAAGCGUUUGACACCAGUGUUGUUUUUCCCGAAAAUCAAUUACGAAUGGCUGGAUGCUAGUGUUGUAUUGACCUUAUCAGCUUUCUUCACUUUUCAGUCUUUCUUAAUGCACUUUUCGGUUAACAAGUCAACAUCAAUUUCUUUUGUUGUAAAAGAGUAUUCGGAAGGUGGCUUUCUUUUCGGAGAAAGUGUUUAUAGCCCUAUACUUCUACAAUCGGAGAGAUUGAGGUCUGCAGCGUAGAUCCUUCGGGGUUAGAUACACUUGUGCUAAGUUGUAGCUUUUCAUAGACAACUUGUUGACUAUGUUUAGUCAUGCGGCUUACUCGCUUGUGCUAUUUUACCUACGCUUAGGAUGUUGAGCGCAUGUCUCUCUCU